UACAGAGGUCCCAAGCGUUGUUCGGAUUCACUGGGCGUAAAGGGUGCGUAGGUGGUCAGGUAAGUCGGAUGUGAAAUCUCGGAGCUUAACUCCGAAACUGCAUUGGAAACUACCUGGCUCGAGGAAUGGAGGGGGGACUGGAAUUCUCGGUGUAGCAGGUGAAAUGCGUAGAUAUCGAGAGGAACACCAGUGGCGAAGGCGGGUCUCUGGACAGUUCCGUGACGCUGAGGCACGAAGGCCAGGGGAGCAAACGGG
rnacentral:rRNA from 1 species